rnacentral:rRNA from 1 species
GCCUGAUGCAGCAACGCCGCGUGUGUGAUGAAGGCCUUCGGGUCGUAAAGCACUUUUCUGGGAGAUGAGAAAGGACAGUAUCCCAGGAAUAAGUCUCGGCUAACUACGUGCCAGCAGCCGCGGUAAAACGUAGGAGGCAAGCGUUAUCCGGAUUCACUGGGCGUAAAGCGCGUGCAGGUGGCGCGGUAAGUUGGGCGUGAAAUCUCCCGGCUCAACUGGGAGAGGUCGUCCAAUACUACCGUGCUUGAGAGCAGAAGAGGAAGAUGGAAUUCCCGGUGUAGUGGUGAAAUGCGUAGAUAUCGGGAGGAACACCAGUGGCGAAGGCGAUCUUCUGGUCUGUUUCUGACACUCAGACGCGACAGCUAGGGUAGUAAACGGGAUUAGAGACCCCGGUAAUCCUAGCCGUAAACGAUGUGAACUUGGCGUUGGUGGGUUAAACUCCAUCAGUGCCGUAGCAAACGCGAUAAGUUCACCGCCUGGGGACUACGGCCGCAAGGUUA